rnacentral:rRNA from 1 species
CCUACGGGAGACAGCAGUGGGGAAUAUUGGGCAAUGGGCGCAAGCCUGACCCAGCAACGCCGCGUGAGGGAAGAAGGCUUUCGGGUUGUAAACCUCUUUUAACAGGGAAGAGCAGAAGACGACAUCUCUUGAAUAAGCCACGGCUAACUACGUGCCAGCAGCCGCUGUCAUACGGAGGUGGCACGCGUUGCGCGGAUUUACUGGGUGUAACGGGCGUGUAGGCGGGCUGAUAAGUCAGAUGUGAAAUCCCGGGGCUCAACCACGGCACUGCGUUGGAAACUGUCGGUCUUGAGUACAGGAGAGGUAGGCGGAAUUCCUAGUGUAGCGGUGAAAUGCGUAGAUAUUAGGAGGAACACCAGUGGCGAAGGCGGCCUGCUGGACGGAAACUGACGGUGAGGCGCGAAAGCGUGGGGAGCAAACAGGAUUAGAUACCCUAGUAGUC